GUUCGGGUCCUGUGCAAUGGAAAUCCACGAACCAUGUCAGGUCCGGAAGGAAGCAGCAUUAAGUGGAAGCUUCCAUGUGCCGCAGGGGUGCCUGAGCCGA
rnacentral:SRP_RNA from 1 species